rnacentral:tRNA from 1 species
GUGGGUAUAGCUCAGUUGGUUAGAGCGCUGGAUUGUGGUUCCAGAGGUCGCCGGUUCAAAUCCGGUUAUCCACCCCA